GUUGUAUGGUUAAGUGACUAAGCGUACACGGUGGAUGCCUUGGCAGUCAGAGGCGAUGAAGGACGUAUUAACUUGCGAUAAGCCCAGAUUAGGUAGUAAUAACCUUUUGAGUCUGGGAUUUCUGAAUGGGGAAACCCACGUGCAUAAGCACGUAUCCUGUUGUGAAUACAUAGCAUCAGGAGGCGAACCGGGGGAACUGAAACAUCUAAGUACCCCGAGGAAGAGAAAUCAACCGAGAUUCCGAAAGUAGCGGCGAGCGAAAUUGGAUUAGCCCUUAAGCUUUUAAUGAUGCAGGUGAAGCCUCUGGAAAGUGGCGCAGUAAAGGGUGAUAGCCCCGUAACCGACACAUCAUCAUCAGUGAAAUCGAGUAAGGCGGGACACGUGAUAUCCUGUCUGAAUAUGGGGGGACCAUCCUCCAAGGCUAAAUACUACUGACUGACCGAUAGUGAACCAGUACCGUGAGGGAAAGGCGAAAAGAACCCCUGUGAGGGGAGUGAAAUAGAACCUGAAACCGUGUACGUACAAGCAGUAGGAGCACCUUCGUGGUGUGACUGCGUACCUUUUGUAUAAUGGGUCAGCGACUUAAUUUUAGUAGCAAGGUUAACCGUUUAGGGGAGCCGUAGGGAAACCGAGUCUUAACUGGGCGUACAGUUGCUAGGAUUAGACCCGAAACCAGGUGAUCUAGCCAUGGGCAGGUUGAAGGUUGAGUAACAUCAACUGGAGGACCGAACCGACUAAUGUUGAAAAAUUAGCGGAUGACUUGUGGCUAGGGGUGAAAGGCCAAUCAAACCUGGAGAUAGCUGGUUCUCCCCGAAAGCUAUUUAGGUAGCGCCUCGGACGAAUACUACUGGGGGUAGAGCACUGUUAAGGCUAGGGGGUCAUCCCGACUUACCAACCCUUUGCAAACUCCGAAUACCAGUAAGUACUAUCCGGGAGACACACGGCGGGUGCUAACGUCCGUCGUGGAGAGGGAAACAACCCAGACCGCCAGCUAAGGUCCCAAAGUAUAGCUAAGUGGGAAACGAUGUGGGAAGGCUCAGACAGCCAGGAUGUUGGCUUAGAAGCAGCCAUCAUUUAAAGAAAGCGUAAUAGCUCACUGGUCGAGUCGGCCUGCGCGGAAGAUGUAACGGGGCUAAGCUAUACACCGAAGCUGCGGCUACGUACCUUAGGGUAUGUGGGGUAGGGGAGCGUUCUGUAAGCCGUUGAAGGUGGUCUGUAAGGGCUGCUGGAGGUAUCAGAAGUGCGAAUGCUGACAUGAGUAACGAUAAAGGGAGUGAAAAACUCCCUCGCCGGAAGACCAAGGGUUCCUGUCCAACGUUAAUCGGGGCAGGGUAAGUCGACUCCUAAGGCGAGGCCGAAAGGCGUAGUCGAUGGGAAACGGGUUAAUAUUCCCGUACUUCUUACAAUUGCGAUGGGGGGACGGAGAAGGCUAGGUGGGCCUGGCGACGGUUGUCCAGGUUCAAGUACGUAGGCGGAAAGUUUAGGUAAAUCCGGACUUUCUUAACGCUGAGAUACGAUGUCGAGCACCUACGGGUGUGAAGUCAUUGAUGCCAUGCUUCCAGGAAAAGCCUCUAAGCUUCAGAUUGUAAGGAAUCGUACCCCAAACCGACACAGGUGGUCGGGUAGAGAAUACCAAGGCGCUUGAGAGAACUCGGGUGAAGGAACUAGGCAAAAUGGUACCGUAACUUCGGGAGAAGGUACGCUCUUAUCAGUGAAGUCCCUUGCGGAUGGAGCAGACGAGAGUCGCAGAUACCAGGUGGCUGCAACUGUUUAUUAAAAACACAGCACUGUGCAAAAUCGUAAGAUGACGUAUACGGUGUGACGCCUGCCCGGUGCCGGAAGGUUAAUUGAUGGGGUUAGACUUCGGUCGAAGCUCUUGAUCGAAGCCCCGGUAAACGGCGGCCGUAACUAUAACGGUCCUAAGGUAGCGAAAUUCCUUGUCGGGUAAGUUCCGACCUGCACGAAUGG
rnacentral:rRNA from 1 species